AUUGAACGCUGGCGGCAGGCCUAACACAUGCAAGUCGAACGAGUGGCGGACGGGUGAGUAAUGUCUGGAAAAAUGCCAGAUGGAGGGGGAUAACUACUGGAAAAGGUAGCUAAUACUGCAUACUAUCAGAUGAGCCUAGGUAGGAUUAGCUAGUUGGUGGGGUAACGGCCUACAAAGGCGACGAUCCGUACCAGGUCUGGGAGGAUGAUCAGUCACACUGGAACGGAUACACGGUCCAGACUCCUACGGGAGGCAGCAGUGGGGAAUAUUGGACAAUGGGCGAAAGCCUGAGCCAGCCAUGCCGCGUGUAUGAAGAAGGCCUGCGGGUUGUAAAGUACUUUCAGCGGGGAGGCGUUACCCGCAGAAGAAGCACCGGCUAACUCCGUGCCAGCAGCCGCGGUAAUAC
rnacentral:rRNA from 1 species